GGAGAGGUGGCUGAGUGGUCUAAAGCGCACGCUUGGAGAGCGUGUGGCGAUCGAAAGGUUGCUCGAGAGUUCGAAUCUCUCCCUCUCCGCCA
rnacentral:tRNA from 2 species